GCCAUAGCUCAGUUGGUUAGAGCACCUGGUUGUGAUCCAGGGGGUCGGGGGUUCGAGUCCCCUUGG
rnacentral:tRNA from 1 species